rnacentral:rRNA from 1 species
GAUGAACGCUAGCGGGAGGCCUAACACAUGCAAGCCGAGCGGUAUUGUUUCUUCGGAAAUGAGAGAGCGGCGUACGGGUGCGUAACACGUGUGCAGCCUGCCUUUAUCUGGGGGAUAGCCUUUCGAAAGGAAGAUUAAUACUCCAUAAUAUAUUGAACGGCAUCGUUUAAUAUUGAAAGCUCCGGCGGAUAGAGAUGGGCACGCGCAAGAUUAGCUAGUUGGUGAGGUAACGGCUCACCAAGGCGAUGAUCUUUAGGGGGCCUGAGAGGGUGAUCCCCCACACUGGUACUGAGACACGGACCAGACUCCUACGGGAGGCAGCAGUGAGGAAUAUUGGUCAAUGGGUGCAAGCCUGAACCAGCCAUCCCGCGUGAAGGACGACUGCCCUAUGGGUUGUAAACUUCUUUUGUAUAGGGAUAAACCUACCCUCGAGAGGGUAGCUGAAGGUACUAUACGAAUAAGCACCGGCUAACUCCGUG